CCCUAAUACCGUUCUUCUCACUUCCUCCACCAUUCUUCACGCCGUCUCAUCCUUCGUUGCAGGAGCGCAGGUGUCGCCGCUAUCUCCUCCUCCAUUUCAGUGCUGCCGCCGCCGUGUUUCUUCCGCAGCCUCCUCCUAGUGAGUUUCAUUUGCACUGUCUACUCUCUUGUUGUCACUAAUGACAACUCCAGAAUUGUUUGCUCAAGAUGAAGAUGUGACUCAUGACAAAAUGCAGAUGCAAAGGUCAGAAAAGACUAAGUGGCCUGAUGGUCCAGAUAAAAAGAAUGACGUAGAGAAGAAGAAAAAGAAGAGGAAGAAAGAACAUAAAACCCAUAAGAACGAGCAAAAAGAAGAGACAGAAUCUGAGACAGAACCGUGGGCAAAGAAUGAAGAAAUAGAAACCGAGACAGAAACUUGCGUAAAGAACGACAAGGAAAUGGAAAAGCAAAAGAAGAAAAAAGCUAAGUUGUCUGAGGGCAUUGAUGGAGAUAAUUGUGAAAGAGGGUCAGAUGGAGGGAAGGAGAAGAAGAAAAAGAAACAAAAAACUGAGGAUUCUAGAGACAAUUCUUUAUAUAUUAAGAAGGAGAAGAAGAAGAAGAAAACUAAGUAUGUUGAGGGUGGAUCACAAGAAAAUGUUCAUGAAGGAGGAGAUGGAUUGACAGAGAACGAGGACAUUGGUGAUCCCUCUGAAAGACUUUCUCCCAAGGGAUCAUCUAAUUAUGAAAGAGGGCCAGAUGGAGGGAAGGAGAAGAUGAAAAAGAAAAAGAAACAAAAAACUGAGGAUUCUAAAGAAAGUUCUUCACAUAUUAAGGAGGAGAAAAAGAGGAAGAAAACCAAGUAUGUUGAAGGUGGAUCACAAGAAAAGGUUCAUGGAGGAGGAAUAGGAUUGACGGAGAACGAGGACAUUGGUGGUCCUUCUGAAAGACUUUCUCCCGAGGGAUCAUCUAAUCGUAAACGAGGGCCAGAUGGAGGGAAGGAGAAGAAGAAAAAGAAACAAAAAACUGAGGAUUCUAGAGACAAUUCUUUACAUAUUAAGAAGGAGAAGAAGAAGAAGAAAACUAAGAAUGUUGAAGGUGCAUCACAAGAGAAGGUUUGUGAAGGAGGAGCAGGAUUGACAGAGAACGAGGACGUUGUUGGUCCUUCUGAACGACCUUCUCCCAAGGGAUCAUCUAAGAAAGUCAGAUUUUCAGAAGAUGUUGAGAUUUUUCCAAUAGCUGAUGGCAAAAGCAGAAAAAAAACUAAGCAAGAAGAUGAUGGCAAAAGUAGAAAAAAUACUAAGCAAGAAGAUGAUGGUUUAAUAAGAGGCAAGCGGUUUUCCAAAGAAGAAGAUGAGAUAGUUAAAACGGCUGUCAUGCAAUACAUUCAUGAACACGGGCUUGGCGAUGAAGGUCUCAAAAAGGUUCUUAAAUGUAGGGAGUUUCCUGAACUGAAAAAUUGUUGGAAGGACAUAGGAAAAUCCUUACCUUACAGACCUUAUUUGAGUGUAUACUAUAGAGCUCACAUCUUGUUUGAAAGGGACGAGUCGCGUAAAUGGACACCCGAGGAAUAUGAAAUUGUCCGAAAGUUUCAUGAAAAAUAUGGAUCGGAUUGGAAAGGAUUGGCUGAUGCUCUUGGAAAACAUAGGUUUCAUGUGAAAGAUACAUGGCGACGAAUAAAACUCACCAAUAUGAAGAAAGGACGUUGGACACAAGACGAGUACCAGAAAUUAUUUGAUCUAGUUAACACAGACCUGCGAAACAAGGCUUCCGAAGAAAAAAUAUCCAAGCACGGAAUGCUACGUGACAACAUCUGCUGGGGAGCAAUUAGCGACAAGUUGGCCACGAGAUCAAAUGCUCUUUGCUGCAUGAAAUGGUAUCGCCAGUUAACGUCACCAAUGGUUGCUGAGGGUGAUUGGGAAGAUGUCGAUGACUACCGACUUGUCGAUGCUCUGUCCAGCUUGGACGCUGUCUCCAUCGAAGAUGUGGAAUGGGACCAACUGCUUGAGCAUAGGGAUGGUGAUAUAUGUAGAAAGCGGUGGUCUCAAAUGGUCAAACACAUAGGUGAUAAUGGCAACAAGUCAUUUUCUGAACAAGUUGAACUUCUUUCCAAGCGAUAUAGCAUUGAUGUACUUGAAGCAAGAGAAGCCUUUGAUGCUGCACCUAUAGUUGAUUAAGCAAAACAUGGUUCAACGAGGAACUCAUAGCUUGCUUUCAUUGCAUCUCCAAAGUCUUCCUGUUCUCAGGUCUUGAACUCUCGGUACUCGGAAAAGCUCUGUUUUUCGGCUUGUAAUCGGGUAAGAGCUUCAGUGUGAUCCCCAUCCCUAUGAGUAGUAGACCCGUCGCAUGUUGUUCACUUAAUGGCUUUGUGAAUAUCAAGUAAGAUAGAAGUAAUGUCACUGCCUUUCUAGCUGUUGUUAUCUGUGACAGAAUUCAAUUGUUUUGAGGUGUUAGUAGGAUCAUAAUAAUUCAAAAUUUCAAUCCUAUUCUCAAUCAUUAAUAGUCCUAGGAAAUUUAAUGUAGACACGUCUUUUAAAGCCCCGUAUGAUGCA